AUGAACGCUAGCGGCAGGCCUAACACAUGCAAGUCGAGGGGCAACACAGGUAGCAAUACUGGGUGGCGACCGGCGCACGGGUGCGUAACGCGUAUGCAACCUACCUUUAACAGGGGAAUAGCCCGGAGAAAUUCGGAUUAAUGUCCCAUAAUAUUCACUGUGGACAUCCACUAUGAAUUAAAGUACCAACGGUUAAAGAUGGGCAUGCGUGGCAUUAGCUAGUUGGUGAGGUAACGGCUCACCAAGGCGACGAUGCCUAGGGGUUCUGAGAGGAUUAUCCCCCACACUGGUACUGAGACACGGACCAGACUCCUACGGGAGGCAGCAGUGAGGAAUAUUGGUCAAUGGACGCAAGUCUGAACCAGCCAUGCCGCGUGCAGGAUGACGGCCCUAUGGGUUGUAAACUGCUUUUGUUUGGGAAGAAACUCUCGUACGUGUACGGGACUGACGGUACCAGGCGAAUAAGCAUCGGCUAACUCCGU
rnacentral:rRNA from 1 species